rnacentral:rRNA from 1 species
UUGCCCCAGUAACGGCGAGUGAAGCGGCAACAGCUCAAAUUUGAAAUCUGGCCCCUCCCCCGGGGGGGCCCGAGUUGUAAUUUGCAGAGGAUGCUUCUGGCGAGGUGCCUUCCGAGUUCCCUGGAACGGGACGCCGCAGAGGGUGAGAGCCCCGUCUGGUCGGACAACCGAGCCUCUGUGAAGCUCCUUCGACGAGUCGAGUAGUUUGGGAAUGCUGCUCUAAAUGGGAGGUAUAUGUCUUCUAAAGCUAAAUACCGGCCAGAGACCGAUAGCGCACAAGUAGAGUGAUCGAAAGAUGAAAAGCACUUUGAAAAGAGGGUUAAACAGUACGUGAAAUUGUUGAAAGGGAAGCGCUCAUGACCAGACCUGGUCCCGGCGAAUCACCCGGCGUUCUCGCCGGUGCACUUCGACGGGCUUCCAGGCCAGCAUCAGUCCGCGCCGGGGGACAAAGGCGGCGGGAACGUGGCUCCCCAGGGAGUGUUAUAGCCCGCCGCGCAAUGCCCCGGGGGCGGACUGAGGCCCGCGCGUCACCGCAAGGAUGCUGGCGUAAUGGUCAUCAGCGACCCGUCUUGAAACACGGACCAAGGAGUCGUCCUCGUAUGCGAGUGUUGGGGCGUCAAACCCCCCGCGCGUAAUGAAAGUGAACGGCAGGUGAGAGCCCUCGCGGGCGCAUCAUCGACCGAUCCUGAUGUUCUCGGAUGGAUUUGAGUAGGAGCAUACGGGGCCGGACCCGAAAGAAGGUGAACUAUGCCUGUGUAGGGUGAAGCCAGAGGAAACUCUGGUGGAGGCUCGCAGCGGUUCUGACGUGCAAAUCGAUCGUCAAACAUGGGCAUGGGGGCGAAAGACUAAUC